GUGGGUAUAGCUCAGUGGUAGUGUGCAUGUUUAGCAUGCAUGGGGUCCCAGCUUCAAUCCCUGGUACCUCCA
rnacentral:tRNA from 1 species